GCGAUCCCAGGUCAGGCGGGGCUACCCGCUGAGUUUAAGCAUAUCAAUAAGCGGAGGAAAAGAAACUAACGAGGAUUCCCUUAGUAGCGGCGAGCGAACCGGGAAGAGCCCAGCGUGAAAAUCGUCCGUCAUCGGCGGCCGAAUUGUAGUCUGGAGAAGCGUCCUCAGUGACGGACCGGACCCAAGUUCACUGGAAGGUGGCGCCGGAGAGGGUGAGAGCCCCGUCGUGUCCGGACCCUGU
rnacentral:rRNA from 5 species